GAGGGGCCUGAAUUGUCAAAACUGAAACUUAAGUUACUAAUAGUAACCAAAGCAAAACCAAACACCCCAAAACUUGGUGUCUGGUCGAUCAAGAGAGAGGGGCGACCAGGGGAUUUGCUUCAAACCCUAGUUUGUCACAAACAGCUCAAAUUGGAAGCCCAAAUUAAGUCCAAAUCGAAUUCUAAACACAAAUUAGUGAUCACCUCGGCAUAAGGAUCAAAAGGACAAGAUACCGGGACGUCGAGCGGACAAGCCGGUGGUGAUUCUCGGUUGAAGGGCGUGCGCUAAGGUAAUUUGGCGGAUCUUACAGGUGGCGAUCAAGCGAUUUAGUGAAGAACCGAACACUCUUUUUUUGAAGCUUCCGCAAUG